rnacentral:lncRNA from 1 species
AGAAAAGAGGCAAGGGCGGAGAAGAAAGGAACUUUUAUGCCUCUAAACCCCCACUAGUUUCCUCAUCCCCCCUCAUCCUUGUGCAUUGUAGCCCAGCCCUGAACCAUGUGGCCAAGCUCCCAGGCUUUACUGUGACUAGAGAGGAAGAAGAGAGGAGACUGCAAUUACUAAGUAGGUAACGAGGGAUUUCUAACAGUCGGUUAGAAAGUAAGACGUUUUAGAAAUAUUGGCAGGAAACUCUACAGGACAUUGCUCUUUUAACGAUACUUUAUAAAUAAAUGGAAAAAAAAAAUCUCUUCCAUUCGAAAAUAAAGAAACCCUGCCAAAGAAAUUUCUUAUAAGAGGAAAGAAAACUUCACUAGAAUUACCAGAAAGGCAGCGCAAGGAAAUGGCAAUAUUAGAUUUCCCAGAGCACUUCCUUGGCUUGGAGCCAUUGUAUUUGAUUUCAAUUUAUACCAGCAGGAGGCUGCCUGAUACUUUUCUUCUCUGGUAAUGGCUUUCUUCUCAGGCUUUCUUGUCACCUCUAACAAGAAGUGCACCUGAAGGGAUUUCAGUGGUCAUAAGGCGAAGUCGUAGGAGCCCGUCCAAGGACUGUCACUCAUAUCCACAGUUAGGCAAUUUUUUUUUCAAAACGGCACAAUCAGUUGUGGGACUAAGUUGAGCAGCAGAUAUGGCAGCAUUCAGCUAUUACCCUCCUUGAGGGGAAGGUGGAAGAAUGUUGGAAAGACAAAAACUGAGAGAGAAGGAUAGAAGUGUGGCAGUGCUGGUCAGAAGUGAGAAACCAUCUGGUUGUAGGUGAGGGACCAUAUUUAACGCUGGCUGAAGCCCAAUAUUGUGUCACUGGUGCAUCCAUUUUGUAGCCUGUAAAUACUUCUAUUUCCCACUCUAAAUGUUUUUAUUUUUCUCCUCUCAGUUUCUCAAUAUAGUUGUUUGCAGCAAAUAUUCACUAUAUUUACCAUCCUUGAAAUAUCAGUGAGCCAAAAUAUACACAAAACAUGGCCUGUUUUGUCUCUGCAGCAUUUUUUCUGCUCCACUAAUGUAAAAAUAUUUCUCUUAAUACAGCUCUUUUUAAAGUUCUUUAAUUAGAUAGCACAGAAAGAUUGCAUUUGACAUAGAGACUAACUCAUCUCUACUUUCCUUGACAUGAAAUUUUUGCAGUAUUUGCAUUUUAAUAGGAAUAUUUGUGUUUUUGGUAGCAGAGAGGGGGCUGUUCUGUCCAGUCAUAAUCUGUGAUUACACACAUGUGAUUAUAUUUUCCCUCAUUAGAGCUGAUAUGUGCAUGUGCAUGGAGGGAGACAAAGACAGGCUCUUUGUGAGAGCUGCAGCAGGUGUGUAGGACUGAAUUUCCAUGUGAGAUGGUCUGGAGGAUCUUGAUCAUAUGAGCUUCUUUUUUUGAAGAUAUGUGUGCGUGUAGUAUUGCAACCAUGUUCACUCUUGUGUGUCUGCAUGGACUGUGUAUGAAUAAUAGUGUUUUCUGCUUGGCUGGCCGUGCCGGUGUGUGCCUGUGUUCAGGUUGCACAUGACCCUGACUCUGCUGGGAGGUCCGUGUCUUUCAUGCCUCCCUCAAAUCUGGGUCAAAGGAUGAAAGAAUAACCCCUAUCUGCUAUGACACACCGGUCUGUAUGAAAAAUGACUUCCUGGAGGUUUGAGUGGUAACAAGGUGGCAUAGUGGAGGACACAACUUUUAAAAUUCACCUUAUAGAGCAGCAGACACACUGUCCUAAAUCGAGAUCCUGUCACCUCUCUCUACUGACGUAGUUCCUCACUGCACGAGGUACUCAUCUAGUCUUCCCUCAUCUCCUUUUUCCUGUCCCUCUCACUUUGUUUCAGCACAUCUCACAGCUGACCUUGCAUACACCAGAUGAGAACGCUGGAUUUGCAAGUCGACGGCAAGUCGAUUAGGAAUGCAGUGUGGCUCAGUGUCUCCUGGCAUCUCUAUGUCUGUCUCCCCUCGCUCUCACAGCUGUUCAUCUCUUUCUCUUGUAGACUUUCUUCUCUCACUCAGUAAGCCUCUCCAACAAUGCUGCUGCUCUGAACCCGCUUCAACCCUCAGAGGAGGGAAAAGCCAUGCCGGGGCAUUUGUGCAUGUCAGUGUAUGUGCAGGCAAGCAUGAUUAUAUGAGUGAGUGUAUGUGUGUGUCUCUUUGUGUGGCAGCUAGGAAAGGUAGUUUUUGCCAAAGAACAGAAUGAGCAUCCUAAGUUCCCUGCAAACCGAGUGGUGGCUGUCAUCGAGGUCUUCUCUUAAAAAGAAUAAAGAUUUUAAAAAAAGGGGGAAAAAAAAGGGAAAUAGGAAAUUGUUCCUGCACUGGGACACUCCUCUCUGCCUCUCUCACAGCUUCAGCCCUGUGGGCUUCAAGCUUGAAGCAGGGCAGAGUGUGCAGAGGAUGUUAAGACCUACUGCCUGUCAUAGAUAAAGGCUGCAGACCUCCUACUAGCAGUGGGACACAGCCAUCUGGGAGGACCACUUGCAGUGCCUCAUACCCAUUUGACCCCCUGUUGCACACCCUUGUAUUGACGCACACUCAGCCUCCUUAGAAGCCCAUGCUGGGCAAAGCAGGACACUGUCGGAUUGAUGGAGAGGUCCCCACGAUACGUUUUUGUCUCCGGCAACUUUUACAAAACAUUCAAAACAGACCCUCCUCAUUACUCCCAACACUGUGUUCAUUCUCUCCCCACCUCCUCUUUGUCUCCAACCCUCCACAGCUUGAGCAGCAUACUGUUUCUGGACCAUUCCCUGUUGAUGGAAAAAGGGGGUUACUCAUUUGUCAUUGUGUGAACAGUCAUCGCUGCCUGCUAGGGGUUCAUAAUGACAGAGAGAUGGUUUGCUCUGUCAGCAAGACCUAAAGUGGACCAAAAAAAAGGGGGCUAUCUCAUACUUCCUGAAAUACCAGCGAAAUAAGCAUUUAAAUUACACAGAUGUGCCAUGUGCUUGCCUCCAUAAAUAUUAAAAAUCAUGGUUUGCACUUUUCCUAGUUUUUUUGAAGAAUGCUUUUGUUCUGUCUUUCACACCCUCACUUGUUUCUUUUGUUAUAUUUUGCCCUAAACUGUGCAGAAAUGUAAAUUUAAUGAUGAGGACUCUCUGUAGUACACUCAAGCUUGAUUAUUUAAACAGCACCAAGCUAUCAGCAGAGAAUUGUAUCUACAGAACUCUAAAGAGACCGUUUGCUCUUUCAACAAGAAUUUGUCUCUAGCCUCUCUACAGUAAUGUUUAAAACCACCCACAUUGAAUAUAUAAUAUUUAAAAAAAAAACACAUAUUUCAAUUAUUAACCUGCUUGACAUUGAGAGCUACUUUCUUCACUUUGUUAUUCUUCUGGGAUAACUUCAUGUUCAAGAAAGCCAGAUGUGCUUAGACAUGUAAAUGACUACAAAAGAUAAUGUGCCUUUUAUGGUUAUAGCUCCGUGGUCCGUGGUCAGUUAUAUGAGAACUUAGUUACUGAAUUUAAGAGCAUGUCGCUGUCCAACAGAAUAUUUGAGUUUACCAGGAUCAGAAAUGUCAUUAAUGUGCUAUGUGGUAUCAGUGAGAAAACCAGUCAAUGCACCCAUCCAAUACCUCAGUUAAUACGCCCUUUAAGAAAUUACUUUAUCUCUUCUUCUCCAAAAUAAGUAUCUACACAGAAUUACCAUGAAAUAUAGCUGCAACUACACAGUGCUUUACUGAAACAUCCACAGCAUAUGCCAGGAUACUUAUCAAGUGAUGGUAGAAAACAGUCAUCUCAGCUUGUUUCUAGGUGAGAAUUCAUUCAGUGUCUUUAGCCAGGUUGCAUGACAAUGAUACCAAAACUGUUUAAGUAAUAUAUCAAGUCUUUUGUAUUGGAAUGGUGGGUACUUGGGAUUUACCUUGUUGAAUUCAAGUAUUGGAAUCAUAACCAGUAAGCAUCACUUCACAAAAUCAUUGUAUUUAGUAAAGUAUUGAUAGUUAAAUUACUUUUAGUCUUGAGUCAUUCUAAGAAGCAUUUACCUGCAACCCUGGAGCAGAGGCCCCUGGUGACGUUUCUGGAAAAGUCGUAGAUGACAAAUUUCCUUCCAGUAAUUAGACUGAAUGACUCAAAAUUAUGUUUAAAGCUGCAAUGAAAAAUAAUUAUUUAAUUAUAUAAUUGAAUCCAGGUAUACCCCCCUCAUAUGAACAUGUACUGUACAUUUUGUUUUUAUUUUAAAAAAAGGUAUGUAAGCAAGUAAACAGUUGUGAUAAAUUCCAAAAUUAGCGAAUACUUUUUUCCCAGUGAAUUUCCAUUGAAUCGUCCAUCCAUCCAUCCAUCCAUCCAGGUCAGGUCGCGGGGGCAGCAGCCUGAGCAAAGAAGCCAAGACUUCCUUCUCCCCAGCCACUUAGUCCAGUUUCUGGGGGACCUUAAGGCGUUCCCAGGCCAACUGAGAGACAUAGUCUCCAUUGAAUUAAUCUUAAAAAGUUAAAUUCAUGAAAUAUCAUUCAAAUAUCAGUCAUCCCAGAACCUGUGCUCAACCAGGCAGCAAAGUCUGGUCCCUCUGAAUUUUCUGCCAUUUUUACUCUAUUUAUUUAUGAUUUUGUUGUGUUUUGUCAACUGCAGGUGGAUGUUUCUGCUGUGAGAGGAGUUUGUUCAGGAGAGGAGCCUCUUUCAUUGAGACGGAGCAGGUCUGGAUGACGGCAUCCAGUUCCAGUGGACAUCUGGAGGCAUUAUCGAGGUUGCCAUGCUGGUGUAGAGGUGAAGGCAAAGAUGAAGGCCAGGAAAUGAAAAUAUAAGCCCGCCGGAAACAAACUCUUUGUUCAGUGUGGAUCUGCCUGUUUUCACUCUCAUAAGGUCAGUCAGAGAUGCUAAAGCUAGUGGCAAGAAGUAAGGAGGGGGUCUAGCUUUCUCUGUUAACCAGAGAUGGUGUAACCUUUCACAUAUAACUGUCAAGGAGAGGAUGUGUUGUCCAGAUAUUGGACUGCUGGCUGUUGCUCUUCAGCUAUAUUAUGUUCCAAGGGAGUUCAGUCAUAUCAUAACAAUACUUGUAUAUAUCCCACCCAAGGCAACGGCUGAAGUUCCAUGUUUGGAUUCAAGUUUCAUUUGAUUGGAAUGAAGUUGGACUCACUAGAGGAUGUGAUGUAGUAGCCUGGCUGGGCCAUCCAGUUGCGUGAAUCACUUGCCGUUCCUUCCCACAAGUGAUUCACGCAACUGGAUGGCCCAGCCAGGCUAGUGAUGUAGAGAUGCACACUGAGGAAACUAGAGGCCAUUCAAAAAAACAUGGAUCAUCAACUUCAUGACACCUUGAUGGACCAAAAAAACAGUGAUGAUCUAUUAGCUGCAGAAUGAAGAGAUUCAGAAGAUCUUUUGAACCCACAGCCAUCAGAAUUUUUAAUUCUUCUAUAAAUAGUAGAUGAGAUGAGAUUCUAGACUAGUUAAUUUCCCUGUGGGGAUCAAUAAAUUUCUUGUAUUGUAUUGUAUUGCAUUAUUCAAAACUUUGAGUUAUUUCACCAUCUAAAGAUGUAGGUUCAUUAUUAUUAUCCAGGAAGUCCAAUCCUGUCACAAGAUUCAUCACACAUUCACAUACAUGUUAAUUAUGAUUUUUGAGUCCUAUCUCAGAUACCCUCACCGGCCUCUGGAACCUAAUUAAGCAGCUUGAGUGUGUGUGACAGCAUCAUCUACAGAAAUAUUUAACUGGUCUGAACAGCGCACACAAAUCCUGAAAAAGAUGGGACGGUCAACAUGCUGCUGAAAAAGGCGUACUGAGACCUGGAGAAAGGCGAGCAGAUAGCUGUACAAAUCUGCCCCCCAGUUGGUUUCUCCUCUCCAGUGACUCAGGUGCUGAUCUCCUUCUAUCUUUACCAGCAGCACCACAAGGAGCAAGAACACAGAGCUAUCCAGGGAAAUUACCCUGUCGACAGACGGCACAUUGAGACUUCGUUAGCACAACCAUCCAACCUAGUGCCUCUCCAGCCUGAUCGAACUGAGCAACUCUCCAUGACAGAGUAAACAAAGCAGAAUCACCGGCAUGAUGAGGAAAAGAAGGUCUUUUUCAUUUGAUUCAAUUGCUGCAAAUCCCUGAAUACCCAUGUGGUUUUGUGUAUCAUAAACUUCAAUGAGGGUAUGUGAGUGGAAAGCCACAAGUGGAAAUAUGUCCCUUUGUUCUUAUUAUGAAUCUAUAUCUUUGCAUGUAUGCGUUUGUGUGUUUUUCUGCAUAUGUUUUUGUUUGUGCGUGUUUUUUAUGAGGGUAUUUUAUAUGUAAAUUUGACUUUCUGCAUGCGAUGCACCUGUAUACAAUGAGUCCAUAUUGAUAUUUACCUUAUAAUGGAUUUUCUAGGUGGGGUGUUUGUAUUCAUGCAAAUAUUUGUGUAUGUGUGCUUCUCUGUGCGUGUGUGUCUGUUUGUGUGCUUCAGGCAGAGGAGAAUGUCUGUGUUGAGUAAAAAGAAGAAGCGGAGGAGAGGUAUAAGUCAGAGCCUGUGAGUAAACAACCUGCAGUAGCUACAGCUAGUGUCAGUCUUCCUACCUCGCCUCCAUGGCUGCCGUGCCUUCCUCCUUUACUUUCCAUCCUCUGCGCUUAAACAAACACACACAGCAAUUGUGCUGCCAAGUUACUGAAAAACUCGUUCAGCAAACUUCCGGGCUCCUGCAACUCUGCUCAGCUUUUUGUGCCUAAAUUGAUAAUUGAAUUGACUAUCGCCAUGUAAUCAAUUAGGGUGUUCAUCCCCGGCUCUGAUUCAAACAGUUAAUUGGCUUGUGCCACAGAGAGGCUGAGACGAAGAGCUGACUGGUGCAGGAGGGACUGUUGGAUUACUACAGAUGGGCUCAGACCUAUUUGCAUUGUGUCUGACUUUAAGUCCUUGAUUGCCUUUCCUGGUUCAGAAAUUGCCUGGAUGCGAGCAGCACACAGGUUGUAAAAGGACCUCGGUGACAAAUUCUGCCUGUUUAAGUGAAGAGGGUGAGGAUACAUAUAGAGUGUGCACAGCGGG